rnacentral:misc_RNA from 1 species
AAUGUCGUAACAAGGUUUCCGUAGGUGAACCUGCGGAAGGAUCACUAGUGAAUACAUCGGGAGCGUCUUAACUGACCUCCCCAAACCCUUCACAAUCCACAUACACCUGUGCACUGUUUUCGGCUUUUGGAGCAAUCGAAACGCCAAUCAUUUAAUACAAAUCCCCGUAGUUUAAUGAAUGUAACCGUUUAUAUAAUCAAAAGUAAAA